rnacentral:rRNA from 1 species
GUUGUAUGGUUAAGUGACUAAGCGUACACGGUGGAUGCCUUGGCAGUCAGAGGCGAUGAAGGACGUAGUAACUUGCGAUAAGCGUAGAUGAGGCAGUAACAGCCACUUGAGUCUACGAUUUCCGAAUGGGGAAACCCACUGGCAUAAGCCAGUAUCAUUGAGUGAAUACAUAGCUCAAUGAAGCGAACCGGGAGAACUGAAACAUCUAAGUACCCCGAGGAAAAGAAAUCAACCGAGAUUCCGAAAGUAGCGGCGAGCGAAAUUGGAUUAGCCCUUAAGCUUUACAUGUGUUAGACGAACGGUCUGGAAAGUCCGACGAUACAGGGUGAUAGUCCCGUAGUUGUAGAUGCAUGUUCAGUGAAAUCGAGUAGGGCGGGACACGUGUUAUCCUGUCUGAAUAUGGGGGGACCAUCCUCCAAGGCUAAAUACUCCUGACUGACCGAUAGUGAACCAGUACCGUGAGGGAAAGGCGAAAAGAACCCCUGUGAGGGGAGUGAAAUAGAACCUGAAACCGUGUACGUACAAGCAGUAGGAGCACCUUCGUGGUGUGACUGCGUACCUUUUGUAUAAUGGGUCAGCGACUUAUAUUCAGUGGCAAGGUUAACCAUCUAGGGGAGCCGUAGGGAAACCGAGUCUUAACUGGGCGCCAUAGUCUCUGGAUAUAGACCCGAAACCGAGUGAUCUAGCCAUGGGCAGGUUGAAGGUUGAGUAACAUCAACUGGAGGACCGAACCGACUAAUGUUGAAAAAUUAGCGGAUGACUUGUGGCUAGGGGUGAAAGGCCAAUCAAACUCGGAGAUAGCUGGUUCUCCCCGAAAGCUAUUUAGGUAGCGCCUCGGACGAAUACUACUGGGGGUAGAGCACUGUUAAGGCUAGGGGGUCAUCCCGACUUACCAACCCUUUGCAAACUCCGAAUACCAGUAAGUACUAUCCGGGAGACACACGGCGGGUGCUAACGUCCGUCGUGGAGAGGGAAACAACCCAGACCGCCAGCUAAGGUCCCAAAUUACAGCUAAGUGGGAAACGAUGUGGGAAGGCUUAGACAGCUAGGAUGUUGGCUUAGAAGCAGCCAUCAUUUAAAGAAAGCGUAAUAGCUCACUAGUCGAGUCGGCCUGCGCGGAAGAUGUAACGGGGCUAAGUUGUAAACCGAAGCUGCGGCAAUGUUCUUUGAACAUUGGGUAGGGGAGCGUUCUGUAAGCCGUUGAAGGUGUGUUGUAAAGCAUGCUGGAGGUAUCAGAAGUGCGAAUGCUGACAUGAGUAACGACAAGGGGGGUGAAAAACCUCCCCGCCGGAAGACCAAGGGUUCCUGUCCAACGUUAAUCGGGGCAGGGUAAGUCGACCCCUAAGGCGAGGCCGAAAGGCGUAGUCGAUGGGAAACGGGUUAAUAUUCCCGUACUUCUUACAAUUGCGAUGGGGGGACGGAGAAGGCUAGGUGGGCCUGGCGACGGUUGUCCAGGUUCAAGUGCGUAGGCU